GAUGAACGCUGGCGGCGUGCCUAAUACAUGCAAGUCGAGCGAACGGGCGAGAAGCUUGCUUUUCUGAUGUUAGCGGCGGACGGGUGAGUAACACGUGGAUAACCUACCUAUAAGACUGGGAUAACUUCGGGAAACCGGAGCUAAUACCGGAUAAUAUUUUGAACCGCAUGGUUCAAAAGUGAAAGACGGUCUUGCUGUCACUUAUAGAUGGAUCCGCGCUGCAUUAGCUAGUUGGUAAGGUAACGGCUUACCAAGGCAACGAUGCAUAGCCGACCUGAGAGGGUGAUCGGCCACACGGGAACUGAGACACGGUCCAGACUCCUACGGGAGGCAGCAGUAGGGAAUCUUCCGCAAUGGGCGAAAGCCUGACGGAGCAACGCCGCGUGAGUGAUGAAGGUCUUCGGAUCGUAAAACUCUGUUAUUAGGGAAGAACAUAUGUGUAAGUAACUGUGCACAUCUUGACGGUACCUAAUCAGAAAGCCACGGCUAACUACGUG
rnacentral:rRNA from 1 species